CACCCCCCAGAGCACUGAUCUGAUCCAGCUCCAGCAGGGAAGACAGCCUGCCCUAGAGACAGGCCCCAUGCACUAGUAAGCCCUCUGGCAACUUGUGGGCCUGCAUAGAUAGAGUGUAUGGGACCUCUGCAGUGGCUGCUGUGUGGUAUCCAACACCAAACGGCUCCUGCUCUAAAUAGAAAUCCUUGGCAGCUUCUCCCUGUAAGGAAAUGAGAGAACACUCCUGUUUGGACUCCAGCCACCAUGCUGUGAGGAAGCCCAAGCAACCAAGACAGCCUACAGGGAGUUGAACCAAGAGGCAGCUCCUCUUUCUCUGUCUGAUGCAGUGGCCCUGCCUGCUAGAACAACUAACACAGGCAUCGUCUAACGUAGUUACCGUCGAGGAACACCAAUUAUUCCCUUGACUCAAUGUACUACCUCUCACAGGAUCCAGCCUAAAACUAGAGUCAGAUCUCAACACACCCUGGGGCAUCAUUUACAGAGUCAACCAGAAAGAGGGGGUACACUGAAAGAAGUGGAAGAUUUCUCUAAAUUAUUUCAGCAAAACUUGGGAAACAUAUGUGAGAAGAUCAUGAUUAAAGAGGGAGUAACAUAAUUCUGAGUGAGGCUGAAUUUAGUGGAAUGUUUAUUUACCAGAGAUUCUAAAA
rnacentral:lncRNA from 1 species